rnacentral:rRNA from 1 species
ACGAACGCUGGCGGCACGCUUAACACAUGCAAGUCGAACGAGAGAAGAGAAGCUUGCUUUUCUGAUCUAGUGGCGGACGGGUGAGUAACACGUGAGCAAUCUGCCUUUCAGAGGGGGAUACCGAUUGGAAACGAUCGUUAAUACCGCAUAACAUAAUUGAACCGCAUGAUUUGAUUAUCAAAGAUUUAUCGCUGAAAGAUGAGCUCGCGUCUGAUUAGCUAGUUGGUAAGGUAACGGCUUACCAAGGCGACGAUCAGUAGCCGGACUGAGAGGUUGAUCGGCCACAUUGGGACUGAGACACGGCCCAGACUCCUACGGGAGGCAGCAGUGGGGAAUAUUGCACAAUGGAGGAAACUCUGAUGCAGCGAUGCCGCGUGAGGGAAGAAGGUUUUAGGAUUGUAAACCUCUGUCUUCAGGGACGAAAAAUGACGGUACCUGAGGAGGAAGCUCCGGCUAACUACGUGCCAGCAGCCGCGGUAAUACGUAGGGAGCGAGCGUUGUCCGGAAUUACUGGGUGUAAAGGGAGCGUAGGCGGGAUCGCAAGUCAGAUGUGAAAACUAUGGGCUUAACCCAUAAACUGCAUUUGAAACUGUGGUUCUUGAGUGAAGUGGAGGUAAGCGGAAUUCCUAGUGUAGCGGUGAAAUGCGUAGAUAUUAGGAGGAACAUCAGUGGCGAAGGCGGCUUACUGGGCUUUAACUGACGCUGAGGCUCGAAAGCGUGGGGAGCAAACAGGAUUAGAUACCCUGGUAGUCCACGCCGUAAACGAUGAUUACUAGGUGUGGGGGGACUGACCCCUUCCGUGCCGCAGCAAACGCAAUAAGUAAUCCACCUGGGGAGUACGACCGCAAGGUUGAAACUCAAAGGAAUUGACGGGGGCCCGCACAAGCAGUGGAGUAUGUGGAUUAAUUCGAAGCAACGCGAAGAACCUUACCAGGUCUUGACAUCGUAUGCAUAGCUCAGAGAUGAGUGAAAUCUCUUCGGAGACAUAUAGACAGGUGGUGCAUGGUUGUCGUCAGCUCGUGUCGUGAGAUGUUGGGUUAAGUCCCGCAACGAGCGCAACCCUUACUGUUAGUUGCUACGCAAGAGCACUCUAGCAGGACUGCCGUUGACAAAACGGAGGAAGGUGGGGAUGACGUCAAAUCAUCAUGCCCCUUAUGACCUGGGCCUCACACGUACUACAAUGGCUGUCAACAGAGGGAAGCAAAGCCGCGAGGUGGAGCAAACCCCUAAAAGCAGUCUUAGUUCGGAUUGUAGGCUGCAACCCGCCUACAUGAAGUCGGAAUUGCUAGUAAUCGCAGAUCAGCAUGCUGCGGUGAAUACGUUCCCGGGCCUUGUACACACCGCCCGUCACGCCAUGGGAGUCGGUAACACCCGAAGCCUGUAGUCUAACCGCAAGGAGGACGCAGUCGAAGGUGGGAUUGAUGACUGGGGUG